AGUGAACGCUGGCGGUAGGCCUAACACAUGCAAGUCGAACGGCAGCACAGUAAGAGCUUGCUCUUACGGGUGGCGAGUGGCGGACGGGUGAGGAAUACAUCGGAAUCUACUUUUUCGUGGGGGAUAACGUAGGGAAACUUACGCUAAUACCGCAUACGACCUACGGGUGAAAGCAGGGGAUCUUCGGACCUUGCGCGACUGAAUGAGCCGAUGUCGGAUUAGCUAGUUGGCGGGGUAAAGGCCCACCAAGGCGACGAUCCGUAGCUGGUCUGAGAGGAUGAUCAGCCACACUGGAACUGAGACACGGUCCAGACUCCUACGGGAGGCAGCAGUAGGGAAUAUUGGACAAUGGGCGCAAGCCUGAUCCAGCCAUACCGCGUGAGUGAAGAAGGCCUUCGGGUUGUAAAGCCCUUUUGUUGGGAAAGAAAAGCAGCAGGUUAAUACCCCGCUGUUCUGACGGUACCCAAAGAAUAAGCACCGGCUAACUUCGUG
rnacentral:rRNA from 1 species